UGCUUUUUGUAUAUAUAAAAAGUAGCACCUGCCCAAUGAUCAUUAAAUGGCCGCGGUAUUUUGACUGUGCAAAGGUAGCAUAAUCAUUUGCUUUAUAAAUUAAAGCUAGUAUGAAUGGUAAAAUGAAAAUUUCACUGUCUCUUUUAUAAUUUUAAAAUUUAAUUUACUAGUGAAGAAGCUAGUAUUUUUUUAUAAGACGAGAAGACCCUGGUGAGUUUAAUAUAGUUUAAAUUAUUUAUAAAUUUAUAUUUAAUUGGGGUAAUUUAAGGAGAUAUUUUCUUAAAAAAAAUUACACAUUAGUAUCAUUAUUAAUGAUUAUAAGUUUAAAUUACCACAGGGAUAACAGCAUAAUCUUUUUUAAGAGUACUUAUCGACAAAAUGGGUUGUGACCUCGAUGUUGGGUUAAGAGAAUUUUUUAAUGUAGCAAUUAUAAAAAUAAGUCUGUUCGACUUUUAAAAUCUUACA
rnacentral:rRNA from 1 species